GAACGUACAAUUUACCAAUACGAAGAUAAUCUUUACCGGAUUGUCAGGUGAAAUUUAAGUGAAUUUUGGGUAGAUUCUAUCGGUGAUCAUGAUAAGAAAAUUGAAUUAUGUUUUGCUAUAUCAAGAUGGCGAUUUCAGUAAAACGGUCGGAGGAUUUGUGAUCUGCGGAUAAUUUUUUCGAGUUGUUCUGGGUAAUCGGAUCCUGGAACAAAUAGAAUAUGUUAUUCGGAACAACGCACAGAUAUGAAUCUGCUCAAUCAACGGGAUACGACGGUUAUUGAAAACAGUGAAAUGCUAUCAUGGAUUAAUAUACUCUCCCUCUUGUUCUCCCUAGUGCUACUGUAACUGUAACGCUCACUGUGGUGCUUAUAUAUGUAAAUAAAAUGAUUUAUAUUUAAACGCCAAUAAAA